AGGAGGAGUUCCGACCACAUAACAACUCUUUCACUGGAAGAGACUUUGAUGCUGAAGCUGGAUGGGUACACACCACAUCGCUCCAGCUGAUGCGUGCCAAAGGAGGAGAUGCUGGCUCUAGGAUGUGCCCUCUCCUGAGCACAAUUUAUGAGGCCCAGAGUAUUGGAAAAAAGGGAUGCAGUGGCCAGGUGCCUGAUUGAAUAUCUUGGAGAACACCAAGAAGACCUUUUUCAAGACAGCCAGGACGAGCAUGACAACGUCAUGGACCAAACUAUGAAGGUGCUUGUGAUCCAUGAUGCCAGGGACAGGGGACCAGCAUAUGUGUCCAUUGUCAUAGAGGGAGACAGAGUUUUGAAUUUGUGCGGA